rnacentral:rRNA from 1 species
GCCCGCUCAGAAACUCAAAGGAAUUGACGGGGGCCCGCACAAGCAGUGGAGUAUGUGGUUUAAUUCGACGCAACGCGAAGAACCUUACCAGGGUUUGACAUCCACUGAAUAUCUAAGAGAUUAGGUCGGCCCCCUUUCGGGGGACAGUGAGACAGGUGGUGCAUGGCUGUCGUCAGCUCGUGUCGUGAGAUGUUGGGUUAAGUCCCGCAACGAGCGCAACCCUUAUCCUGUGUUACCAGCGUGAAAGACGGGGACUCACAGGAGACUGCCGCCGACAAGGCGGAGGAAGGCGGGGAUGACGUCAAGUCAUCAUGCCCCUUAUGUCCUGGGCUACACACGUACUACAAUGGGUGCGAACAGAGGGCAGCAAUCCCGCGAGGGGGAGCCAAUCCCACAAAAGCACUCUCAGUUCGGAUCGCAGGCUGCAACUCGCCUGCGUGAAGUCGGAAUCACUAGUAAUCGCAGAUCAGCAGGCUGCGGUGAAUACGUUCCCGGGCCUU